rnacentral:rRNA from 1 species
AUUGAACGCUGGCGGCAGGCCUAACACAUGCAAGUCGAGCGAGCGGCGGACGGGUGAGUAAUAUGUGGGGACUGCCCCUUAGAGGGGGAUAACUACUGGAAAACGUGGCUAAAACCCCAUACUGUCGGAUAACCCAUAUGGGAUUAGCUAGUAGGUCGGGUAAUGGCUUACCUAGGCGACGAUCCCUAGCUGGUCUGAGAGGAUGAUCAGCCACACGGGGACUGAGACACGGCCCAGACUCCUACGGAGGCAGCAGUGGGGAAUAUUGCACAAUGGGCGCAAGCCUGAUGCAGCCAUGCCGCGUGUAUGAAGAAGGCCUUAGGGUUGUAAAGUACUUUCAGUCGGGAGGCGUUACCGGCAGAAGAAGCACCGGCUAACUCCGUGCCAGCAGCCGCGGUAAUAC